rnacentral:rRNA from 1 species
AGAGUUUGAUCCUGGCUCAGGAUGAACGCUGGCGGCGUGCUUAACACAUGCAAGUCGAGCGGAAAUAUUUGUUGCUUGCAAUAAAUAUUUUAGCGGCGGACGGGUGAGUAACACGUGGGGAACCUGCCUUAUGGCUCGGGAUAACAAUGAGAAAUUAUUGCUAAUACCGGAUAAGCUUACAAUGACGCAUGUCAAAGUAAGAAAAGAUAUAUCACCAUAAGAUGGCCCCGCGUCUGAUUAGCUAGUUGGAAGGGUAAAGGCCUACCAAGGCAAUGAUCAGUAGCCGGACUGAGAGGUUGGACGGCCACAUUGGGACUGAGACACGGCCCAAACUCCUACGGGAGGCAGCAGUGGGGAAUAUUGCACAAUGGGGGAAACCCUGAUGCAGCAACGCCGCGUAAAGGAAGAAGGCUCUCGGGUCGUAAACUUUAAUCUACAGGGAAGAAAAAAAUGACGGUACCUGAAGAGAAGCACCGGCUAACUACGUGCCAGCAGCCGCGGUAAUACGUAGGGUGCAAGCGUUAUCCGGAAUUACUGGGUGUAAAGGGUGAGUAGGCGGACAGAUAAGCCAUAUGUGAAAGGUUGGGGCUUAACCCCGAAACAGCAUAAGGAACUAUAGGUCUAGAGUACAGGAGAGGUAAGCGGAAUUCCUAGUGUAGCGGUGAAAUGCGUAGAUAUUAGGAAGAACACCAGUGGCGAAGGCGGCUUACUGGACUGAAACUGACGCUGAGUCACGAAAGCGUGGGGAGCGAACAGGAUUAGAUACCCUGGUAGUCCACGCUGUAAACGAUGAGUGCUAGGUGUCGGUUAGAGAUAAUCGGUGCCGGAGCAAACGCAAUAAGCACUCCACCUGGGGAGUACGUACGCAAGUAUGAAACUCAAAGGAAUUGACGGGGG